rnacentral:rRNA from 1 species
CAGCAGCCGCGGGAAUACGAAGGUCCCGAGCGUUGUUCGGAAUCACUGGGCGUAAAGGGAGCGUAGGCGGCGUGGUAAGUCAGAUGUGAAAUCCCGGGGCUCAACCCCGGAACUGCAUCCGAUACUGCCAUGCUAGAGGAUUGGAGAGGUAGCUGGAAUUCUUGGCGUAGCAGUGAAAUGCGUGGAGAUCAAGAGGAACACUCGUGGCGAAAGCGAGCUACUGGACAAUAACUGACGCUGAGGCCCGAAGGCCAGGGUAGCGAAAGGGAUUAGAUACGCCUGUAGUCCCUGUCUCUUAUAC